AACUGAAGAGUUUGAUCAUGGCUCAGAUUGAACGCUGGCGGUAGGCUUAACACAUGCAAGUCGAGCGGAAACGAUGUAGCUUGCUACAGGCGUCGAGCGGCGGACGGGUGAGUAACGCGUAGGAAUCUGCCUAGUAGUGGGGGACAACCUGUGGAAACGCAGGCUAAUACCGCAUAAGCCCUGAGGGGGAAAGGAGGGGAUCUUCGGACCUUUCGCUAUUAGAUGAGCCUGCGUGAGAUUAGCUAGUUGGUGAGGUAAAGGCUCACCAAGGCGACGAUCUCUAGCUGGUCUGAGAGGAUGAUCAGCCACACUGGGACUGAGACACGGCCCAGACUCCUACGGGAGGCAGCAGUGGGGAAUAUUGGACAAUGGGCGCAAGCCUGAUCCAGCCAUACCGCGUGUGUGAAGAAGGCCCUAGGGUUGUAAAGCACUUUCAGAAGGGAGGAAAGGGUGUUGCUUAAUACGUAAUAUCUGUGACGUUACCUUCAGAAGAAGCACCGGCUAACUCUGUGCCAGCAGCCGCGGUAAUACAGAGGGUGCAAGCGUUAAUCGGAAUUACUGGGCGUAAAGCGCGCGUAGGUGGUUUGUUAAGUCGGAUGUGAAAGCCCAGGGCUCAACCUUGGAAUUGCACCCGAUACUGGCAGGCUAGAGUACGAUAGAG
rnacentral:rRNA from 1 species